AUCUUCCUACGGGGGGCAGCAGUGAGGAAUAUUGGUCAAUGGGCUUACGCCUGAACCAGCCAAGUCGCGUGAGGGAAGACUGCCCUGUGGGUUGUAAACCUCUUUUGUCAGGGAGCAACGCCGGCUACGUGUAGCCGGACUGAGAGUACCUGAAGAAAAAGCAUCGGCUAACUCCGUGCCAGCAGCCGCGGUAAUACGGAGGAUGCGAGCGUUAUCCGGAUUUAUUGGGUCUAAAGGGUGCGUAGGCGGAAUGCCAAGUCAGCGGUAAAAUCGCGGGGCUAAACCUCGCUCCGCAGUUG
rnacentral:rRNA from 1 species